rnacentral:rRNA from 1 species
AUUGAACGCUGGCGGCAGGCCUAACACAUGCAAGUCGAGCGAGCGGCGGACGGGUGAGUACUGUCUGGGAAACUGCCUGUUGGCGGGGGAUAACUACUGGAAACGGUAGCUAAUCCCGCAUACCAUCAGAUGUGCCCAGAUGGGAUUAGCUAGUAGGUGGGGUAACGGCUCACCUAGGCGACGAUCCCUAGCUGGUCUGAGAGGAUGACCCGCCACACUGGAACUGAGACACGGUCCAGACUCCUACGGGAGGCAGCAGUGGGGAAUAUUGCACAAUGGGCGCAAGCCUGAUGCAGCCAUGCCGUGUGUAUGAAGAAGGCCUUCGGGUUGUAAAGUACUUUCAGCGGGGAGGCGUUACCCGCAGAAGAAGCACCGGCUAACUCCGUGCCAGCAGCCGCGGUAAUAC